GUCGAGCGCACUCUUUUGAGUGAGCGGCAAACGGGUGAGUAACGCGUGGGAAUCUACCCAUCUCUACGGAAUAACACAGAGAAAUUUGUGCUAAUACCGUAUACGUCCUAUUGGAGAAAGAUUUAUCGGAGAUGGAUGAGCCCGCGUUGGAUUAGCUAGUUGGUGAGGUAACGGCUCACCAAGGCGACGAUCCAUAGCUGGUCUGAGAGGAUGAUCAGCCACACUGGGACUGAGACACGGCCCAGACUCCUACGGGAGGCAGCAGUGGGGAAUAUUGGACAAUGGGGGCAACCCUGAUCCAGCCAUGCCGCGUGAGUGAUGAAG
rnacentral:rRNA from 1 species